AAGCGGAGGAAAAGAAACUAACAAGGAUUCCCCUAGUAACGGCGAGUGAAGCGGGAAGAGCUCAAAUUUGUAAUCUGGCACUUUCAGUGUCCGAGUUGUAAUCUCGAGAAGURUUUUCCGCGCCGGACUGCAUACAAGUCUGUUGGAAUACAGCGUCAUAGUGGUGAGAACCCCGUAACUGAUGCAGAUGCCCGGUGCUUUGUGAUAYACUUUCGAAGAGUCGAGUUGUUUGGGAAUGCAGCUCAAAUUGGGUGGUAAAUUCCAUCUAAAGCUAAAUAUUGGCGAGAGACCGAUAGCGAACAAGUACCGUGAGGGAAAGAUGAAAAGCACUUUGGAAAGAGAGUUAACAGUACGUGAAAUUGUUGGAAGGGAAACGCUUGAAGUCAGACUUGCUAUUUGGAAUUCAGCCGCAAGGUGUACUUUUCAAUUCGCAGGCCAGCAUCAGUUUUUGGGGGUGGAAAAGGGUAGAGAGAAGGUAGCAGUUUCGGCUGUGUUAUAGCUCUUUGCUGGAUUCAUCCUUGGGGACUGAGGAACGCAGCACGCUUUUUGCAAGGCUUUCGAGCUUUUCGUGCUUAGGAUGCUGGUGGAAUGGCUUUAAACGACCCGUCUUGA
rnacentral:rRNA from 1 species